UUAAAAAGCUCGUAGUCGGACUUCAGUAUUAGGCCCUUCUUCCAAUGCGGUUGCUAGUGGUCUUUACUUCCUUAACAGAAUCUUUCAUCUCAUUAAUUUGGGGUGUUUGGGGCCUGUUUCUUUUACUUUGAGAAAAUUUGAGUGUUCAAAGCGGGUUUUCGCCUGGAUAUUACUCUUGGAAUAAUAAUAUAGGACUUUGGUUCUUUUUUGUUGGUGACUUAGAACCGAAGUAAUGAUUGAUAGGGACAGUUGGGGUCAUUCGUACUAUGAAGCGAGAGGUGAAAUUCAUGGACCUUUGUAUGACGAACUACUGCGAAAGCAUUUGACUAGGAUGUUCCCGUUGAUCAAGAACGAAAGUUGGGGGAUCGAAGACGAUCAGAUACCGUCGUAGUCUCAACCAUAAACUAUGCCAGCUAGGGAUUGGAGGAAGAUCAUUUUACGUCUCCUUCAGCACCUUAUGAGAAAUCAAAGCAUUUGGGUUCCGGGGGGAGUAUGGUCGCAAGGCUGAAACUUAAAGGAAUUGACGGGAGGGCACCACCAGGAGUGGAGCCUGCGGCUUAAUUUGAUUCAACACGGGAAAACUUACCAGGUCCGGACAUGGGAAGGAUUGACAGAUUGAAAGCUCUUUCU
rnacentral:rRNA from 1 species